CUGCACUGAAAAAAGCUGUUUAGAGAGAAAGACAGCAUCUGGUUUGACAGGAGAAAAAACUCAUGUUAGCUGUUAUGCAGCGAUAUCGGACACAGGUGGCGGCUCGCACGGCGGGACAGGCGCUCCGUCGGGGUGCAGGUGCUGUACCGCUGCGGCGUUGCUAUCCUUUCCGCUGCGCCUCUUCAGCAUCGCUGCCGCCCGACAUGGAGGGGCACCAAGGCUCCGACGACUACCGCCGCAGAGACGAUGCCUUUACUCUGUCAACAGAGGUGCGCAAAACAGAGGAGGAACAACCUACCCUGGAUGAGGAUGACUUUGACGAGCUGGAGGCUGCGUCGCAGGAACUGCAUGACCUGUGCUAUGCCUUGAUUGCUCAUCUUCGCUGCACGGACCCGGAGGCCAACAAGUCACUUUUUGAGCGUCGCGUCCAACGAGCCUUUCGUGAGCCUAAGCCUGAGCAGUACCGUCGCCUUCUGCACGGCCACGGCGACCGCAGUCUGCGCCGCCGCAACAAUUACCGCACUCGCAAGGACUUCCAGGAGGCCCACCGGCUUUACCUGCAAUGGUGUGACAAGCUGUUGUUGCUACUCACCCAGCCUGUGCUGGAUCGCCUUGUCAAGAGCGCCGGCAAGGGUCACCGCGACUUGCGAACAGACGGCGUUCAUCGGUACCGCCGGCCCCUGGAACGCGCCACCUGGCGGUCGUUUCCUCAUCGCUGGUUCAAGCACGCACCGUUCGAGGUGCAGCAGCUUCGUGCAGACAUUCCGGAGUCGGCGGUACUGAAUACGCGUUUCUACCGAGACCACGCAACACUUCGCUAUCUGUUCACACUCAUGGAGCCGCAGCACGCUUUUCGGGAAAAAAUUGAGCAUCGCAUGAUGGAGUUGACACAGAGGUACGACCCGUUGCGGAAGUCGAUAGAGUAACGCCGCCGCUCUUCCACAACGCUGGCUGUAUGCUCGUGUGUGCUGCUCUCUCUCUCCCUCUUUACCGGCGGAUAUGUGUGUCUUUAUAGGGCUGUGCAGUGUCUUGGUGGUGCUUGCAGGUGAGCUACGGUGUGCUCUUUGGUAUCUUCAUAAAAAGCACACCAGUGCUGAAACACGGUUGAGUAGCACAUUCUUUUGGCAACUUCCACGUCUUGCAUGCCGCUAUGUGCCCUACUGCCUGUAACAGCGCAGCCGUUGAGCAUUCACACACUUGUCCACACAAGCGCAUUGAAUGGAGUCU
rnacentral:misc_RNA from 1 species